AUAUCACUAAGCGGAGGAAAAGAAAUUAACUAAGAUUGCCUCAGUAACGGCGAGUGAAGCGGCAAAGGCCCAAAAUGGUAAUCUUCACGCUGCGCGUGACGAAUUGUAGUCUAAAGGUGGAACGCUCAACUAGUGGAGACGCGGAAGUGCCCUAGAAUGGGCCGCCAGAGAGGGUGACAGCCCCGUAUGUGGUGUCUCUGCUAAACGAGCGUCCUUCGAAGAGUCGGGUUGUUUUGAAUUGCAGCCCUAAGCGGGAGAUAGACUUCUUCUAAGGCUAAAUAUAUAUGGGAGACCGAUAGCGCACAAGUA
rnacentral:rRNA from 1 species